UAUGAUGCAGACAAGAGAAAGGAGUCC
rnacentral:piRNA from 1 species